rnacentral:rRNA from 1 species
GAUGAACGCUGGCGGCGUGCCUAAUACAUGCAAGUCGAGCGAAUGGAUUAAGAGCUUGCUCUUAUGAAGUUAGCGGCGGACGGGUGAGUAACACGUGGGUAACCUGCCCAUAAGACUGGGAUAACUCCGGGAAACCGGGGCUAAUACCGGAUAACAUUUUGAACCGCAUGGUUCGAAAUUGAAAGGCGGCUUCGGCUGUCACUUAUGGAUGGACCCGGGUCGCAUUAGCUAGUUGGUGAGGUCACGGCUCACCAAGGCAACGACGCGUAGCCGACCUGAGAGGGUGAUCGGCCACACUGGGACUGAGACACGGCCCAGACUCCUACGGGAGGCAGCAGUAGGGAAUCUUCCGCAAUGGACGAAAGUCUGACGGAGCAACGCCGCGUGAGUGAUGAAGGCUUUCGGGUCGUAAAACUCUGUUGUUAGGGAAGAACAAGUGCUAGUUGAAUAAGCUGGCACCUUGACGGUACCUAACCAGAAAGCCACGGCUAACUACGUGCCAGCCGCCGCCGUAA